rnacentral:rRNA from 1 species
AUACGUAGGUGGCGAGCGUUGUCCGGAAUUAUUGGGCGUAAAGAGCAUGUAGGCGGCUUAAUAAGUCGAGCGUGAAAAUGCGGGGCUCAACCCCGUAUGGCGCUGGAAACUGUUAGGCUUGAGUGCAGGAGAGGAAAGGGGAAUUCCCAGUGUAGCGGUGAAAUGCGUAGAUAUUGGGAGGAACACCAGUGGCGAAGGCGCCUUUCUGGACUGUGUCUGACGCUGAGAUGCGAAAGCCAGGGUAGCGAACGGGAUUAGAUACCCCGGUAGUCCUGGCCGUAAACGAUGGUUACUAGGUGUAGGAGGUAUCGACCCCUUCUGUGCCGGAGUUAACGCAAUAAGUACCCCGCCUGGGGAGUACGGCCGCAAGGUUGAAACUCAAAUGAAUUGACGGGG